CCGUCCCCUCUCUCAGAGUUAAUUGCUUCUUUUGGAAAGUAUCUCCUGGACUUUAAGCGGUUCAACUGUGAUUUAUCGUCUGAAUCUUUUUAUCUGAGAACAAAUUGAUUUCUGUGGAAACUCUUUUUCAUAGUUUUGCCAGCAGAACAGAGCAGCUAUUUCAGGAGAAAGUCAAUAAAUGCCCCCUGAGAGGCGUGUGAAGCACACAACAUAUCCAGUCCGCACCGCAGUCUCCUAAUAUGUUCCCACAGGAGCGGCCCGGUGUGCGUGUUCAACUUGGAGGGUUUCCUCCGCCCUGCUGCUUCUGAAUAAGGUGGAGCUUCCGGACGCCAGCGGUCGUGAUCCUGAGUCACAUCGGUCUCCACUGAGGGAUGAUGGGUAAACGCUGCAGCUGUACGGGAACACCACCGCGUUCUUUGGUGCGCAUGCGGCAUGUUAAUACCUCAUUAGGAGCGGGAUGUGAGUCACCCUCGCCCACGUCCCUCGGCAUAGGAGGAUAAUCAUCUCGCAGAGCUUAUCCACGAGAAGAUGCAUUUCUCCUCCAUGGCACAUAACGUGAUGAUGGUCACACUACCAGUGGAGGGCGGCCGCUCUAAGUCACUACAGCUCCUCCUUAAAGAACACUUUUGGACACCACUACAGCUCCUAAUGCCCCUCCAGUUGGAGCAAUAAGGGAGAGCCAGCAGGGUAGGGAAGCAUUUUUAGAUUCAGCCAUUAUAUCCGUUCUUUUUUGGAGGCUGGAAAGCUUUCGGCUCUGUGUAUAAAACUGAAUUACUUAAUAAACUGUCCUGCUUUAACCCCCCAA